rnacentral:rRNA from 1 species
AGUAAAUUGGUUAAGUUAGAAAGGGCGCACGGUGGAUGCCUUGGCACUAGGAGCCGAAGAAGGACGGGACUAACACCGAUAUGCUUUGGGGAGCUGUACGUAAGCGUUGAUCCAGAGAUUUCCGAAUGGGGGAACCCACUAUCUUUAGUCGGAUAGUAUCCUUACGUGAAUACAUAGCGUGAGGAAGGCAGACCCAGGGAACUGAAACAUCUAAGUACCUGGAGGAAGAGAAAGAAAAAUCGAUUUCCUGAGUAGCGGCGAGCGAAACGGAAAGAGCCCAAACCAAGAAGCUUGCUUCUUGGGGUUGUAGGACACUCUAUACGGAGUUACAAAAGAAAGUUAUAAAUGAAGCGGUCUGGAAAGGCCCGCCAAAGACGGUAACAGCCCGGUAGUUGAAAUGGCUUUCCCUCCAGAGUGGAUCCUGA